rnacentral:rRNA from 1 species
AUUGAACGCUGGCGGCAUGCCUUACACAUGCAAGUCGAACGGUAACAGGUUAAGCUGACGAGUGGCGCACGGGUGAGUAAUGUAUCGGAACGUGCCCAGUCGUGGGGGAUAACUGCUCGAAAGAGCAGCUAAUACCGCAUACGACCUGAGGGUGAAAGCGGGGGCUCGCAAGUCCUCGCGCGAUUGGAGCUGCCGAUAUCAGAUUAGGUAGUUGGUGAGGUAAAGGCUCACCAAGCCGACGAUCUGUAGCUGGUCUGAGAGGACGACCAGCCACACUGGGACUGAGACACGGCCCAGACUCCUACGGGAGGCAGCAGUGGGGAAUUUUGGACAAUGGGCGAAAGCCUGACCCAGCCAUGCCGCGUGCGGGAAGAAGGCCUUCGGGUUGUAAACCGCUUUUGUCAGGGAAGAAAAGGUUCUGGCUAAUACCUGGGACUCAUGACGGUACCUGAAGAAUAAGCACCGGCUAACUACGUG